rnacentral:rRNA from 1 species
AGAGUUUGAUCAUGGCUCAGAACGAACGCUGGCGGCGUGGAUAAGACAUGCAAGUCGAGCGCUGAUUGCGAGGUAGCAAUAUUUCGUAGUCGGAGCGGCGCAAGGGUGCGUAACACGUGGGCAAUCUGCCAUGAAGUUUGGGAUAACUCGCUGAAAGGCGAGCUAAUACCGGAUGUGACUGUUGGGAGGCAUCUCCCGAUAGUUAAAGCUGGGGACCGUAAGGCCUGGCGCUUCUUGAUGAGCCCGCGGCCUAUCAGCUAGUUGGUGAGGUAACGGCUCACCAAGGCUAAGACGGGUAGCUGGUCUGAGAGGACGACCAGCCACACUGGAACUGAGACACGGUCCAGACACCUACGGGUGGCAGCAGUCGAGAAUUUUUCACAAUGGGCGCAAGCCUGAUGGAGCGACGCCGCGUGGGGGAUGAAUGGCUUCGGCCCGUAAACCCCUGUCAUUCGCGAUCAACCCUUAUUAUUUAAAAGAUGAUAAGCUGAUAGUAGCGGAAGAGGAAGGGACGGCUAACUCUGUGCCAGCAGCCGCGGUAAUACAGAGGUCCCAAGCGUUAUUCGGAUCCACUGGGCGUAAAGGGUGCGUAGGUGGUGGCGUAAGUCGGAUGUGAAAUCUCGGAGCUCAACUCCGAAACUGCAUUGGAAACUGCGUCGCUAGAGGGUCGGAGGGGGGACUGGAAUUCUCGGUGUAGCAGUGAAAUGCGUAGAUAUCGAGAGGAACACCAGUGGCGAAGGCGAGUCCCUGGACGACUCCUGACACUGAGGCACGAAAGCUAGGGGAGCAAACAGGAUUAGAUACCCUGGUAGUCCUAGCCGUAAACGGUGCACGUUUGCUGUAAAAGGAAUCGACCCCUUUUGUGGCGGAGCUAACGCGUUAAACGUGCCGCCUGGGAAGUACGGUCGCAAGAUUAAAACUCAAAGAAAUUGA